GAAGGUCAAUCUGCACGCUCGGUCAACGUACCAUGGGGUCCUCUAUACUGCGUCCUACAACAAGAUGAACAGACUCUCACAUCCUAUUGCAGCGAAGAACUCUCGAUAUUCCCACUAACACCGAAAAAAGACGCGAAGCUGACGGACGUUCUGUUUGCCGAGUUGCCUCGAGUGCGACUCGAUCAACCACCAAAGCUCCAAAACAUGAAGACGAUCUGGGAGACGGCCCACCCAACGCUGCAGGAGGAACCGGAGGAAGAUGGGGCUGAGCAUCACAUCCAACACAACACGUCACUGCGGAGUGCUUUAGGUGAGUGCGAAGAAGCUUUUGCUUUAUGCUUUUAUUUUUCCUCGCUGGGGGGGAAAAGCUUCAAAUUGGUUCAACUCCGACAAGCGCGGAAUGAUGUUCAGCGUUGCUUGGAUGUUGGGCUACUCGCUGCUAGGUGGCGCAUUGAUUGCGCACGCGGCAUAUUGUUAGUUUGUCGGAUUCAUUUGUGCUUACACCCAAGUUCGUUUUACGGAAUCCU